rnacentral:rRNA from 1 species
GGGGAACAACAGCUGGAACGGCUGCUAAUACCCCAUAGGCUGAGGAGCAAAAGGAGGAAUCCGCCCAAGGAGGGGCUCGCGUCUGAUUAGUUAGUUGGUGAGGCAAUGGCUUACCAAGGCGACGAUCAGUAGCUGGUCCGAGAGGAUGAUCAGCCACACUGGGACUGAGACACGGCCCAGACUCCUACGGGAGGCAGCAGUGGGGAAUUUUCCGCAAUGGGCGAAAGCCUGAUGGAGCAAUGCCGCGUGAAGGCAGAAGGCCCACGGGUCAUGAACUUCUUUUCUCG